rnacentral:lncRNA from 1 species
UUGGGCUUCUGACUUUUAGAACUAUAAGAUAAAUUUGUGUUAUUUUAACCUACUAAGUUUGUGGCUUUUGUCUUUUAUAACAGCAAUAGGAAAGAGGCUGUCUCAAAGAUCUUCAAAAUGCCUUUGGGUUCUUUUGUCCCUUGUCUUGAUGGAUGGCACCUGGCUUGUUUCUAUGCAUAUUAAUUCCUUUAACAAAUGGUUGCUUGACCACACUUUUUGUAUUCUCUUCUAAAGAUGCCUUUUCACUCUUUACCUUGCCAGCUUGCAAAUUUUC